rnacentral:tRNA from 1 species
UGGGAUAUAGCCAAGUUGGUAAGGCCCCGGAUUUUGAUUCCGGUAUGCUCAGGUUCGAGUCCUGAUAUCCCAG